rnacentral:rRNA from 1 species
GGGUUGUAAACUCCUUUCGUUAGGGACGAAGCCACACCUUUUUUUGGGUGUGGUGACGGUACCUUUGUUAAGAAGCACCGGCUAACUACGUGCCAGCAGCCGCGGUAAUACGUAGGGUGCGAGCGUUGUCCGGAAUUACUGGGCGUAAAGAGCUCGUAGGUGGUUUGUUGCGUCGUCUGUGAAAUUCCGGGGCUUAACUUCGGGGUGGCAGGCGAUACGGGCAUAACUAGAGUGCUGUAGGGGAGACUGGAAUUCCUGGUGUAGCGGUGGAAUGCGCAGAUAUCAGGAGGAACACCGAUGGCGAAGGCAGGUCUCUGGGCAGUAACUGACGCUGAGGAGCGAAAGCAUGGGGAGCGAACAGGAUUAGAUACCCUGGUAGUCCAUGCUGUAAACGGUGGGCGUUAGGUGUGGGGACCGGUUUGGUUUCUGUGCCGUAGCUAACGCAUUAAGCGCCCCGCCUGGGGAGUACGGCCGCAAGGCUAAAACUCAAAGGAAUUGACGGGGGCCCGCACAAG